UAAGGAAUAUUGGUCAAUGGACGCAAGUCUGAACCAGCCAUGCCGCGUGAAGGAUUAAGGCCCUCUGGGUUGUAAACUUCUUUUAUAGGGGAAGAAAUGUGACGGUUCUCCGUCACUUGACGGUACCCUGGGAAUAAGCACCGGCUAACUCCGUGCCAGCAGCCGCGGUAAUACGGAGGGUGCAGGCGUUAUCCGGAUUCACUGGGUUUAAAGGGUGCGUAGGUGGGCAGAUAAGUCAGUGGUGAAAUCUUCCGGCUUAACCGGGAAACUGCCGUUGAUACUAUUUGUCUUGAAUAUUGCGGAGGUAAGCGGAAUAUGUCAUGUAGCGGUGAAAUGCUUAGAUAUGACAUAGAACACCGAUUGCGAAGGCAGCUUACUACACAAUCAUUGACACUGAGGCACGAAAGCGUGGGUAGCGAACA
rnacentral:rRNA from 1 species